AGUGAACGCUGGCGGUAGGCCUAACACAUGCAAGUCGAACGGCAGCACAGUAAGAGCUUGCUCUUACGGGUGGCGAGUGGCGGACGGGUGAGGAAUACAUCGGAAUCUACUUUUUCGUGGGGGAUAACGUAGGGAAACUUACGCUAUACCGCAUACGACCUACGGGUGAAAGCAGGGGAUCCUCGGACCCUGCGCGGUUGAAUGAGCCGAUGUCGGAUUAGCUAGUUGGCGGGGUAAAGGCCCACCAAGGCGACGAUCCGUAGCUGGUCUGAGAGGAUGAUCAGCCACACUGGAACUGAGACACGGUCCAGACUCCUACGGGAGGCAGCAGUGGGGAAUAUUGGACAAUGGGCGCAAGCCUGAUCCAGCCAUACCGCGUGGGUGAAGAAGGCCUUCGGGUUGUAAAGCCCUUUUGUUGGGAAAGAAAAGCAGCAGGUUAAUACCCCGCUGUUCUGACGGUACCCAAAGAAUAAGCACCGGCUAACUUCGUG
rnacentral:rRNA from 1 species